GAGCAGACACCCAGCGCCGCCGGAACUCGGGGCGCGCAUCCCGCAAGUCGGAACGCGGCGGAUCGGAUCCCGCAGAUCAGAGACGGGGCCUGGAGGGUGGCAGCACGCAAAGGGCGUCCCUGUCCCUCAAGGGGUCAUGGCCUCCAUGUUGCUCGCCCAGCGCCUGGCCUGCAGCUUCCAGCACAGCUACCGCCUGCUGGUGCCUGGUAAGCCCCGGGGGUCUUGAUGAGAACUGGUACUAAUGGAAGAUACCACCCAGACUAGGGAUUCCUGGGCUGGAAGAGCCCUUGGGGAUAAAGGGACCAGCCAGUGAGUGUUUCUGGGACUGUCCCACUGUAUUAGUCUGUUCUCAUGCUGCUAAUAAAGGUACACCUGAGACUGGGUAUUUUAUGAAGAAAAAGAGGUUUAAUGGUCGCACAGUUUCAUAUGGCUGGGGAGGCCUCACAAUCAUGGCGGAAGGUGAAGGAGGAGCAAAGGCACGUCUUACAUGGCGACAGGCAAGAGAGCGUGUGCAGGGGAACUCCCGUUUGUAAAACCAUCAGAUCGUGUGAGACUUAUUCAAUUGACUAUCAUGAGAACAGCAUGGGAAAGACCCACCCCCGUGAUUCAAUUACCUCCCACUGGGUCCCUCCAUGACAUGUGGGAAUUAUGGGAGCUACGAUUUAAGAUGAGAUUUGAAUGAGGACACAGCCAAACCACAUCACCCACUAUCCAUAAAACUAUCACCAUCGCCACCUCCUUUCUCUCUCCCACCUCUGUCGUAUGAUCCUGUCCCAAGUGCCUCAGUCUGAUGGGAUUGGAUCCACCCUGGAGCCACUCUGCCUGCAGGUAGGCGGUGGCCUCCACAGCCAGAUGGUCCCAGGCCAUCUCUGCAGGGACCGCUGGGGAAAACACACAUCUGGGGUUGCUGCUAAGGAACAAAGAAAGCCAUAAAUGACUCUGAAAUUGACCUAAAGCCCAGCUGUGCUUCAAGGUCACUGGAUCACUGGAUGGGAGGCACCAUCUUAGGAAUGUCUCACCCCCACUCUGCCCCACACCCAUGGCCACUUGCACUGGCUCCUUCUUCCUUCUGUUUGACCUCUUUGAGACCUCCCUCCCAAUAGUCCCAUGAGGGAGGCUCAAGUGAAUCCUAUUUUAUAGGUGAGAGAACUCAGGCUUAGAGAAGCAAAGCCAUUUGCCCAAGGUCACACAGCCACUUGCAAGCAACUCUGUCCGGCUCCAGUGCUAACUACUUCUCCGUGUGCUUCCAUGUGGCUCUGGAGACAGAGCCGCCAGCAGGAGCCUCCCUUCACAUGGUCCAAGGGUGGCCUCCUGCAGAGAUAUAAACUGCCUGGCUCAGGGCUGGCCAUGAAAUAGGUUCAGAAAGACCAGUGAGCCUCCAGUCUGUCCCCAGCUCUCUCAGAGCCCCUGUGCUUGUCAUCAUGGUGUCCCUUGUUGUCAGGCCUUACUGCCUUCUGAAGACAAACUGCUAGCCGUGUCCUUGGUCUGCAUGUUGAAUGCUGGUGUGUAUGUCCUGGGUGGGAUAAACAGUAGGAGUGUUCGCCCCUCCCCAAAGAGUAUUAGUAGGAUUUAUUUUAAAAUAAACAUCUUGGCCAGGCGCAGUGGCUCACAGCUGUAAUCCCAGCACUUUGGGAGGCGAGGUGGGCAGAUCACCUGAGGUCAGGGGUCGAGACCAGCCUGGCCAACAUGGUGAAACCCCGUCUCUACCAAAAAUACAAAAAUUAGCCAGGUGUGGUGGUGGAUGCCUGUAAUCCCAACUACUCAGGAGGCUGAGGCAGGAGAAUCGCUUGAAUCCAGGAGAUAAAGAUGGCAGUGAGCUGGAUCGUGCCACUGUACUCCAGCCUGGGCAACAUCAAGGCUCUGUCUC
rnacentral:sRNA from 1 species